GAGACCGACAGAUGAAACUGACAGGUGUUGGGCCUUGAGGCUGUGAACGGCACGUUGCAGGUAGGGAUGGGUGAUGAGGCUGGACUUCAUCGAUACAGAGACAAUGGUUUAAAUAACCAAAGAAUUCCUUUAUUGAGAGAGAUUCUUUUACAUAAACUGCUCUGGCGACAAGAAUAAAUACCUUUUCCUAUCUGUCCUUGUCCAAAGAGAUCACCUCUGGAUUUUCUUGAAUGACAGUGCUGGCGAAACACACGACAGUCUUUAGUUCUGAUUUGUCAGUCUUUAGUCCACACCAAUACAACACUGGAACACCUUCACACGAAAAGAAAUAAUUUUUUGGCUUAUGAUGAUCUCGGAGUUAUCAAUAUCCUCAGCUGUGUUGUCACCAGUCAACUUGGAGCACAUAACAGAAAUCGUCUCAAUUUUGGUCGCUGGCGAUCGGUCUCUUACCUUUCAUAAGAACAAACUGUUCUCCUCACUUUUCUUGAACCUUUUGUGCUCCUCUCUUUUCUCACCUCUAUAUAUAAUUUUUUUGCAUCCACUGUAGCAGAUAAGAAAUUUCCUGUGGUUAGAGGGCAUAUUUACUUGAUUAAUUAGUGAGGGUCCUGCGCUGCUCUGACUUUGCUUUUCCUAAUUUCGUGUUGAUGUGAAACUUAGAUAAAUUUUUACUUCCUUCAACGGAAGCAAAUUUUACUUCAUUAAUAUCAAGGAAACAGAACUUUUUGACAUUAUAACAGUAAAAAACAACAAUCUUGGUCCAUUCAGACAAAGUUUGAGACCGACAUGGGGGUCAGAAAUGGGAUCAGAUCCCCACACCAGCAUUAUUUUUUUUAAAUAACUUUUCCUGAAAAAUAUGUUCUAAUGGCAAUAUGCUAAUACAGUACAUCAUUAAAUAUGUUUUUAUAAACUAAAUCCUCAAGGAUAAUAAUUUAAUUGAACCUAAUUCAUUUCAACCCAACCCUUAAAUCUUAUAAUUGAAAUUUUAAUAAUUUGAAAUAAAUUUUGAUUAAUGCUAGCACCAAUUCAGAAUUAAUAAACAAACCAAUAAUUAAAAGUGGUGCCAUCUAUAAAUUAAUAAUUGAAACAGAAUUCUUAACUAAUUUAUUUGAAGAAGAAAAUUGCCUUGACACAGGCAUGAAACUGGAAUCUUCAGACUAACUUCAUAAUUAUUUUAUGUAUUAUACAAAUAAAAUUGUGCAAUUGUACACAACAAUAACUUUUAAACUCUUUGCUUUACUUAU
rnacentral:lncRNA from 1 species